CCUACGGGGGGCAGCAGUCGAGAAUCAUUCACAAUGGGGGAAACCCUGAUGGUGCGACGCCGCGUGGGGGAAUGAAGGUCUUCGGAUUGUAAACCCCUGUCAUGUGGGAGCAAAUUAAAAAGAUAGUACCACAAGAGGAAGAGACGGCUAACUCUGUGCCAGCAGCCGCGGUAAUACAGAGGUCUCAAGCGUUGUUCGGAAUCACUGGGCAUAAAGCGUGCGUAGGCUGUUUCGUAAGUCGUGUGUGAAAGGCGCGGGCUCAACCCGCGGACGGCAAAUGAUACUGCGGGACUAGAGGAAUUGAGGGGGAAACGGAAUUCUCGGGGUAGCAGUGAAAUGCGGAGAU
rnacentral:rRNA from 1 species